AUGAGCGUGUUCUUGGGCCAUCGUAGAAACAUAGAUAGGGCCAACGACGGAACAAACAACAAAACUUUACGACAGCUUUUUCGUACACGUUCACUUGAAUCACAUACACAAGUGCUCUCUGAACCGUGCAAUAAGCUCUGGAUCCCGCCUGCUUGCAGAAAUGAAUGGAUCAGAAAGGGGGUUGGGUUGUAUUUCCGGGCCGGGCAGGAGGUGAAGGCCAGAAGAAGAAGAGAAGUGCGCCUUCCCGGUAAGGAAGAGGAUAAAAAGGUGCCCGGAGGAAGGGCGGGCAGCAGGUACCACGAGCCCUCUGUCCCACACAUCUAUCAAGAAGCAAGUGUAGUUCACCGGUUCCACCAAAUGCUCCUAUCUCUCGGCAAAGAUCGUAUCGAUUCAGUUCCCCUUCUUUUCCGGUGCACUCGCUUUGUAUCUCCGACACACAAGGACUGCCCUAGCCUCUGUCCGGUCGAUCAUUCCGCUGGCAUCUUGCAUUCACGCCUCCGUUUGACUGCCGCUCGGGAAUGUAGUUGUAGAUACGUGAGUCUUAGUGGGUCGUUGGCUCCACCUCUUAUCUCCUUCUACGACAUGAUGUACGGGUCAGCACCUCCGAAAGAAAGGGAGGGAGGACUUCAUUCAGUGACUCCGCGAUCGCCCUCUAAACAAUCAAAAUAA
rnacentral:rRNA from 1 species